rnacentral:rRNA from 1 species
AGAGUUUGAUCCUGGCUCAGGACGAACGCUGGCGGCACGCUUAGCACAUGCAAGUCGAACGAGAGAAGAGGAGCUUGCUUUUCUGAUCUAGUGGCGGACGGGUGAGUAACACGUGAGCAAUCUGCCUUUCAGAGGGGGAUACCGAUUGGAAACGAUCGUUAAUACCGCAUAACAUAAUUGAACCGCAUGAUUUGAUUAUCAAAGAUUUAUCGCUGAAAGAUGAGCUCGCGUCUGAUUAGCUAGUUGGUAAGGUAACGGCUUACCAAGGCGACGAUCAGUAGCCGGACUGAGAGGUUGAUCGGCCACAUUGGGACUGAGACACGGCCCAGACUCCUACGGGAGGCAGCAGUGGGGAAUAUUGCACAAUGGAGGAAACUCUGAUGCAGCGAUGCCGCGUGAGGGAAGAAGGUUUUAGGAUUGUAAACCUCUGUCUUCAGGGACGAAAAAAGACGGUACCUGAGGAGGAAGCUCCGGCUAACUACGUGCCAGCAGCCGCGGUAAUACGUAGGGAGCGAGCGUUGUCCGGAAUUACUGGGUGUAAAGGGAGCGUAGGCGGGAUCGCAAGUCAGAUGUGAAAACUAUGGGCUUAACCCAUAAACUGCAUUUGAAACUGUGGUUCUUGAGUGAAGUAGAGGUAAGCGGAAUUCCUAGUGUAGCGGUGAAAUGCGUAGAUAUUAGGAGGAACAUCAGUGGCGAAGGCGGCUUACUGGGCUUUAACUGACGCUGAGGCUCGAAAGCGUGGGGAGCAAACAGGAUUAGAUACCCUGGUAGUCCACGCCGUAAACGAUGAUUACUAGGUGUGGGGGGACUGACCCCUUCCGUGCCGCAGCAAACGCAAUAAGUAAUCCACCUGGGGAGUACGACCGCAAGGUUGAAACUCAAAGGAAUUGACGGGGGCCCGCACAAGCAGUGGAGUAUGUGGAUUAAUUCGAAGCAACGCGAAGAACCUUACCAGGUCUUGACAUCGUAUGCAUAGCUCAGAGAUGAGUGAAAUCUCUUCGGAGACAUAUAGACAGGUGGUGCAUGGUUGUCGUCAGCUCGUGUCGUGAGAUGUUGGGUUAAGUCCCGCAACGAGCGCAACCCUUACUGUUAGUUGCUACGCAAGAGCACUCUAGCAGGACUGCUGUUGACAAAACGGAGGAAGGUGGGGAUGACGUCAAAUCAUCAUGCCCCUUAUGACCUGGGCCUCACACGUACUACAAUGGCUGUCAACAGAGGGAAGCAAAGCCGCGAGGUGGAGCGAACCCCUAAAAGCAGUCUUAGUUCGGAUUGUAGGCUGCAACCCGCCUACAUGAAGUCGGAAUUGCUAGUAAUCGCAGAUCAGCAUGCUGCGGUGAAUACGU